AUGGAAAUCUCUUGUCAAGAAUACUCAUCCAUCCAAGGCCCUUGAGGAGCGAGGGGGGGUUUUGGAGCGAGGGAUCCCUCACCCUCCUCCAAAAUUCAACAGUUUGCCUGUGCUUAGCCAUUGUCGACUAUGCUAACUACAUAAUGAAGCUUUUGCUCUAAAAGCUAGCUGGCAGAGUCUUCGGUUAAUGCAUGCCUGGCAAACCGGCAAGUCACAGAACGGCAACGGGCUCGGUCACGAGUCUU
rnacentral:sRNA from 13 species